rnacentral:rRNA from 1 species
AAAAAAGGUAAGCUACUAAGAGCGAAUGGUGGAUGCCUUGACUGGUAAAGGCGAUGAAGGACGUACUAGACUGCGAUAAGCUACGGGGAGCUGUCAAGAAGCUUUGAUCCGUAGAUUUCCGAAUGGGGCAACCCAAUGUAUAGAGAUAUACAUUACCUAUAUAGGAGCGAACGAGGGGAAUUGAAACAUCUUAGUACCCUCAGGAAAAGAAAUCAAUAGAGAUUGCGUCAGUAGCGGCGAGCGAAAGCGCAAGAGGGCAAACCCAGUGCUUGCACUGGGGGUUGUAGGACUGCAAUGUGCAAGAGGUGAGUUUAGCAGAACAUUCUGGAAAGUAUAGCCAUAGAGGGUGAUAGUCCCGUAUGCGAAAAACAAACCUUAGCUAGCAGUAUCCUGAGUAGGGCGGGACACGAGAAAUCCUGUCUGAAGCUGGGUCGACCACGAUCCAACCCUAAAUACUAAUACCAGAUCGAUAGUGCACAAGUACCGUGAGGGAAAGGUGAAAAGAACUGAGGUGAUCAGAGUGAAAUAGAACCUGAAACCAUUUGCUUACAAUCAUUCAGAGCCCUAUGUAGCAAUACAGGGUGAUGGACUGCCUUUUGCAUAAUGAGCCUGCGAGUUGUGGUGUCUGGCAAGGUUAAGCAAACGCGAAGCCGUAGCGAAAGCGAGUCUGAAUAGGGCGCUUAGUCAGAUGCUGCAGACCCGAAACGAAGUGAUCUAUCCAUGAGCAAGUUGAAGCUAGUGUAAGAACUAGUGGAGGACUGAACCCAUAGGCGUUGAAAAGCCCCGGGAUGACUUGUGGAUAGGGGUGAAAGGCCAAUCAAACUUCGUGAUAGCUGGUUCUCUCCGAAAUAUAUUUAGGUAUAGCGUUGUGUCGUAAUAUAAGGGGGUAGAGCACUGAAUGGGCUAGGGCAUACACCAAUGUACCAAACCCUAUCAAACUCCGAAUACCUUAUAUGUAAUCACAGCAGUCAGGCGGCGAGUGAUAAAAUCCGUCGUCAAGAGGGAAACAACCCAGACUACCAGCUAAGGUCCCUAAAUCUUACUUAAGUGGAAAACGAUGUGAAGUUACUUAAACAACCAGGAGGUUGGCUUAGAAGCAGCCAUCCUUUAAAGAAAGCGUAAUAGCUCACUGGUCUAGUGAUUUUGCGCGGAAAAUAUAACGGGGCUAAAGUAAGUACCGAAGCUGUAGACUUGAUUUUAUCAAGUGGUAGGAGAGCGUUCUAUUUGCGUCGAAGGUAUACCGGUAAGGAGUGCUGGAGCGAAUAGAAGUGAGCAUGCAGGCAUGAGUAGCGAUAAUUAAUGUGAGAAUCAUUAACGCCGUAAACCCAAGGUUUCCUACGCGAUGCUCGUCAUCGUAGGGUUAGUCGGGUCCUAAGUCGAGUCCGAAAGGGGUAGACGAUGGCAAAUUGGUUAAUAUUCCAAUACCAACAUUAGUGUGCGAUGGAAGGACGCUUAGGGCUAAGGGGGCUAGCGGAUGGAAGUGCUAGUCUAAGGUCGUAGGAGGUUAUACAGGCAAAUCCGUAUAACAAUACUCCGAGAACUGAAAGGCUUUUUGAAGUCUUCGGAUGGAUAGAAGAACCCCUGAUGCCAUCGAGCCAAGAAAAGUUUCUAAGUUUAGCUAAUGUUGCCCGUACCGUAAACCGACACAGGUGGGUGGGAUGAGUAUUCUAAGGCGCGUGGAAGAACUCUCUUUAAGGAACUCUGCAAAAUAGCACCGUAUCUUCGGUAUAAGGUGUGGUUCGCUUCGUAUUAGGAUUUACUCCGAAAGCGAAGAAACUUACAACAAAGAGUCCCUCCCGACUGUUUACCAAAAACACAGCACUCUGCUAACUCGUAAGAGGAUGUAUAGGGUGUGACGCCUGCCCGGUGCUCGAAGGUUAAUUGAUGGGGUUAGCAUUAGCGAAGCUCUUGAUCGAAGCCCGAGUAAACGGCGGCCGUAACUAUAACGGUCCUAAGGUAGCGAAAUUCCUUGUCGGUUAAAUACCGACCUGCAUGAAUGGCGUAACGAGAUGGGAGCUGUCUCAAAGAGGGAUCCAGUGAAAUUGUAGUGGAGGUGAAAAUUCCUCCUACCCGCGGCAAGACGGAAAGACCCCGUGGACCUUUACUACAGCUUGACACUGCUAUUUGGAUAAGAAUGUGCAGGAUAGGUGGGAGGCUUUGAGUAUAUGACGCCAGUUGUAUAUGAGCCAUUGUUGAGAUACCACUCUUUCUUAUUUGGGUAGCUAACCAGCUUGAGUUAUCCUCAAGUGGGACAAUGUCUGGUGGGUAGUUUGACUGGGGCGGUCGCCUCCCAAAUAAUAACGGAGGCUUACAAAGGUUGGCUCAGAACGGUUGGAAAUCGUUCGUAGAGUAUAAAGGUAUAAGCCAGCUUAACUGCAAGACAUACAAGUCAAGCAGAGACGAAAGUCGGUCUUAGUGAUCCGGUGGUUCUGUGUGGAAGGGCCAUCGCUCAAAGGAUAAAAGGUACCCCGGGGAUAACAGGCUGAUCUCCCCCAAGAGCUCACAUCGACGGGGAGGUUUGGCACCUCGAUGUCGGCUCAUCGCAUCCUGGGGCUGGAGCAGGUCCCAAGGGUAUGGCUGUUCGCCAUUUAAAGCGGUACGCGAGCUGGGUUCAGAACGUCGUGAGACAGUUCGGUCCCUAUCUGCCGUGGGCGUAAGAAGAUUGAAGAGAUUUGACCCUAGUACGAGAGGACCGGGUUGAACAAACCACUGGUGUAGCUGUUGUUCUGCCAAGAGCAUCGCAGCGUAGCUAAGUUUGGAAAGGAUAAACGCUGAAAGCAUCUAAGCGUGAAGCCAACUCUAAGAUGAAUCUUCUCUAAGCUCUCUAGAAGACUACUAGUUUGAUAGGCUGGGUGUGUAAUGGAUGAAAGUCCUUUAGCUGACCAGUACUAAUAGAGCGUUUGGCUUAUCUUUAAUAAAGCAU